rnacentral:lncRNA from 1 species
GAGUUGGCAUUUGGUGCUCUGGAGAAAGCACAGAGAUGAGAGAAGCAGAAUAAGGACCUCAAAAGGCAGUUUUGCUGGAGAUGCUGUCCAUGAGAUGGCAUCAUCUUGUCCAAAGACUCUGGGAACUGACCUGUCCUUGAGGUUGAGGGUAUGCAGUGAGGUUGUGAGGCUGCCUGGGGAUUCCUGGUGACACUCCCACGGAGUCUGAAAAUCCUGAGGGUAGUGAGAAGAUGGAAGUAAGUCAGGAGCAGAAGGAAACCUGUUCCAGAGUUCAUGCUGUGACAGCCUGCAAACAUCCAUUGUAGGAAAUCCCAAGAUGUUUGGGCUGUCCAUGAGGCUGGACAGCCACCAAAGCAUCAGAGGGGUGCAGUAAUAAACCACAGGAGCUGGCACA